CAGGCUUGAAAAAAUGGUUCAACUUGUGGAAGCUCCCCUUACUCCUGAAGGCAUUGUAUUCACUAGCACAAAGGACGUAAUAAGGCUCAUUCUCAAAUUCGUGAGUGGGAUCUCAAUCAUGGAUAUUGAUUUGCCAAUAAUAUGAACAGAGGCUGGUGCAACAUUUGGGGCGCAAAUCAAGUCCGAAAUAAAGCAAAGAGCACCACUAGCAAGUAAGGGCAUCGAAUAUUAUUACCAAGCCACGCAAAGGCGGGAACAUCUAGCAAACUCAUGGAUACACAAAGUCCAUCCUGAGAGGCGCCUGGGACAGUAAUAAAGUUCUGGUUGUGCAUAUAUGCCAAUUGCCAUAUUGACUUUUUAUCUUUUAGUAUCUGCUUUAUCCCUUGUUUAGCUUUGAUAAUCGCAAAGAAAAAAGGAGAGGUUGCAUGCCAACACUUGAAUUUUUUUUUGAAAGAAACUGUGGAGCAGAGCUCCCCAGGCAUAUAUUAAAGAAAAACAGAGUACAAAAAACAGGGUUAGCAGAGAGCUAACCAAGAGAAAGAGGAAAGGCGUAAGAGUCUACCUAGAGGAGAAGCAAGAAGUACUGGGUACACACAGCCUCUCUGGGGAGAAAAGAAAGACAUCUAUAAAUUGUUACACCAGUUCUUAAUUACAUCACGUUUUUGGAAAGGCAGCAUGUAUAACUGAAGAUUAACUUCAGCCUUGAAUCUUUGUUUCCAUACUUCAGCCUUGAA